GGGCUCACUUUGGCAGCACAGGUACUAAAAUGGGAAUGAUACCAAGGAGAUGAAUAUGGCCCCUGUGUGUGGAAGACAUGCAAAUUCAUAAAACCCUACCUAUGAGA
rnacentral:snRNA from 1 species